AUCCAUCUGACCAGUCCCAAAUAGGGCGAAACGCCCGUUAUGAAU
rnacentral:hammerhead_ribozyme from 1 species